AGGCCAGGGGGUCUGCGGGGGCCGGGAAACCCAGCAGAAGAGAGAGCAAGUCUGAGAUUCUCACAAUGAACGAAGGCCAAGGCACAGGGAAACAGCGAUCGGCACCCAGGGUCACACAGCACAAGGACAUCAGCAGCAAGUCGGGAACCCAGGACUCCAGCCUCCCUCUCGCUGUGGCCUGAGUGUCCCCGCUGCAGCAAGGGGCUCUGGCAUCCCUGCAGCUGAAACCUCCCCUCAGGAGGUCCCUCCUGACCGGCUCUUCUCCCCAACAAGAUCGUGUGCCCCUUGGGAAGCCACCUGGUCAGCAUUUUCAUAGAUGCUUGCAAAGCUCCUAUGGCCAGGUGGAAAUGAGGACAAAAACCCUGAGAGACAGGAAGAAGGAGACCGAGACAGAGGAAGCGCGCGGUGGCGGAACAGAGAGAAAUAAGCGGAUAUGAAGAGACAACGGGGCUGAAGAGACACAGGGAGAGUGACAGCGACAGA